GGGGUCGCCUUGGUUUUGACAGCGAGUUGAAGCAAUACGUAUAAGCACGUCGGGACGUGUGCGCGAGUCCUGUUAAAAACACGCAUAAACAAUAGCUGGCAAUUAUAGCUACGCUAUGGCUGCUUAAUCCGGAGUGAUUAAUCAUUAGCCAUCGUUCCUCCAACUUCCGUCUUGCUGGUUGGGUCAAGGGGCGUCGAACCGCGAGACUGGCCGCGCUAACGUUGCUAACACGCGGUAAGACACCAGCAAAUAAGGCAUUGGCUCAGGUCUGUUUUGAACCUUACCGAAGCUCGAAAAUCAAAUCAAAACUAAGCGUGUAGAAGGCGUACGGUUUCCUUGUUCUGGACGCGGGUUCGACUCCCGCCGACUCCACAA
rnacentral:tmRNA from 1 species